rnacentral:rRNA from 1 species
AUUGAACGCUGGCGGCAUGCCUUACACAUGCAAGUCGAACGGCAGCAUAGGAGCUUGCUCCUGAUGGCGAGUGGCGAACGGGUGAGUAAUAUAUCGGAACGUGCCCUAGAGUGGGGGAUAACUAGUCGAAAGACUAGCUAAUACCGCAUACGAUCUACGGAUGAAAGUGGGGGAUCGCAAGACCUCAUGCUCCUGGAACGGCAGCUAUCUGAUUACCUAGUUGGUGGGGAAAAAGCCUACCAAGGCAACGAUCAGGAGCUGGUCUGGGAGGACGGCCAGCCACACGGGGACUGAGACACUGCCCAGACUCCUACGGGAGGCAGCAGUGGGGAAUUUUGGACAAUCGGGGCAACCCUGAUCCAGGAAUGCCGCGUGAGUGAAGAAGGCGUUCGGGUUGUAAAGCUCUUUUGUCAGGGAAGAAACGGUAGUAGCGAAUAACUAUUACUAAUGACGGUACCUGAAGAAUAAGCACCGGCUAACUACGUGCCAGCCGCCGCCGUAAGAC